rnacentral:lncRNA from 1 species
AUACGCGGUCAGGAAAAGUGUUGCUCCAAUGGCCGCGACAGGGACAAAGAGGAAGAAAACUGCAGCAACAAAUGUUAGGAUGGCGAACACUGCAGCUGCAGCAAUGGAUGACAAUCAUGACGAUGCUGGAGGGACAAUUGACUCGUCCUCUGAUGAUGCAUCAUGCUCCUCCGACUCCUCUUUGUCCUCUUCAUUUUCUGAGUCAUCGUCAUCAAGCUCUUCAUCCUCAUCAACCGAUUCAGACAAUGAAAGAAAAUCCAAGAAAAGAAGCGAGAAGAAAAAGAGGGGCCACCACCAUAAGAAAGACAAGAGGGACUACCACCACAAGAAGAACAAGAAGGAAAAGAAGAAGAUGAAAGGGAAGAGAAAGUGCCAAUAUAGCAGACAGAGAGCACGUCAUCCCAAAGAGGCCAUCAAGAGGUACCAGAAAGUCCUUAAGGCAUACAAGAAGGGAAGAAAGCUGAGUGCAGCAUACAGAAUGGUCGGUGUCGACCCAGACACCGUCGUUGCCAGUGCCCCAAUGUGUGAGCUGUAUGUGGUACAGAGAGCUGCUGGGUGCUUACACACCACAGCAACAACUGCAAGACUUUGCAAAACAAUGUUUGGAAGUUUUGAUCAAUGAUCCAGACCUUUUGAGGGAUGUUGAAAAUCAGAAGAAAAAAGGGAAACUGAUUCCUCUGUGUAAGAGAGCUUAGGGGUAACUUCCCCAGGGCCAGGUUGGUCAUUUAGAGAUGGGAUGGUGCCCGAGAGCAGUGGUUCUCAACUUUUGUUUUGUUGUUUGUGACUUUAGUUUGAC